rnacentral:sRNA from 2 species
AUUCUGCCCAUGCGGGGAAGGAUGAGAAGCUUUGACUAAGGUUCGACUCGAGCGCCAGCGAGAGAGCAUUGCCGCAGGCAACGACCCGUAGGGCGAAGCGCGCAGCGCUGAGUAAUCCUUCCCCCACCACCA